CCUACGGGGGGCAGCAGUGGGGAAUAUUGGGCAAUGGGCGAAAGCCUGACCCAGCAACGCCGCGUGAAGGAAGAAGGCUUUCGGGUUGUAAACUUCUUUUGACAGGGAAGAGCAGAAGACGGUACCUGUCGAAUAAGCCACGGCUAACUACGUGCCAGCAGCCGCGGUAAUGCGUAGGUGGCAAGCGUUGUCCGGAUUUACUGGGUGUAAAGGGCGUGUAGCGGGGCUGACAAGUCAGAGGUGAAAUCCGGGGGCUCAACCCCCGAGCGGCAUUUGAAACUGUUGGUCUUGAGUAUCGGAGAGGAGGGGGAAUUUCUGGGUGAGGGGGGGAAUGGAGAAGA
rnacentral:rRNA from 1 species